UACGUAGGGUGCAAGCGUUAAUCGGAAUUACUGGGCGUAAAGCGUGCGCAGGCGGUUUUGUAAGUUUGUCGUGAAAGCCCCGGGCUCAACCUGGGAAUUGCGAUGAAGACUGCAAGGCUUGAAUCUGGCAGAGGGGGGUAGAAUUCCACGUGUAGCAGUGAAAUGCGUAGAGAUGUGGAGGAACACCGAUGGCGAAGGCAGCGAUCUGGGUCGAUACUGACGCUGAGGUGCGAAAGCGUGGGGAGCAAACAGG
rnacentral:rRNA from 1 species